CAAAGUGGAAUCUUAACUGGCUGCAACAACUUCGAAGAUAACUGAUGCUCAGCCUUAACCUGCUGGCAAGUUAAACAUUUACCAACAAAAUCAGUAACCUUCCGUUUAAGUCCUGGCCACCAGUAUAACUCACAAAGGUCUCGGUACAUCUUAUUUCCACCAAUACACUUAGCAUAGGGGCUACUAUAUGCCUCUUUCAGUAUCACCUACUUCAAUUUAGUGUCUUUCGGCACACAGACCCUCCCAUGAUAACAAAGUACCCCUUCAUUAUUCUAUCUAAAGUCCUCAAUAAUCCAAC
rnacentral:lncRNA from 1 species